GAUGAACGCUGGCGGCGUGCUUAACACAUGCAAGUCGAACGAUGAAGCCCAGCUUGUUGGGUGGAUUAGUGGCGAACGGGUGAGUAGCACGUGAGUAACCUGCCCUUAACUCUGGGAUAAGCCUGGGCAACUGGGUCUAAUACCGGAUAGGAGCGUCCACCGCAUGGUGGGUGUUGGAAAGAUUUAUCGGUUUUGGAUGGACUCGCGGCCUAUCAGCUUGUUGGUGAGGUAAUGGCUCACCAAGGCGACGACGGGUAGCCGGCCUGAGAGGGUGACCGGCCACACUGGGACUGAGACACGGCCCAGACUCCUACGGGAGGCAGCAGUGGGGAAUAUUGCACAAUGGGCGCAAGCCUGAUGCAGCGACGCCGCGUGAGGGAUGACGGCCUUCGGGUUGUAAACCUCUUUCAGUAGGGAAGAAGCGAAAGUGACGGUACCUGCAGAAGAAGCACCGGCUAACUACGUG
rnacentral:rRNA from 1 species